UACGUAGGGUGCAAGCGUUAAUCGGAAUUACUGGGCGUAAAGCGUGCGCAGGCGGUGAUGUAAGACAGAUGUGAAAUCCCCGGGCUCAACCUUGGAACUGCAUUUGUGACUGCAUCGCUGGAGUACGGCAGAGGGGGAUGGAAUUCCGCGUGUAGCAGUGAAAUGCGUAGAUAUGCGGAGGAACACCGAUGGCGAAGGCAAUCCCCUGGGCCUGUACUGACGCUCAUGCACGAAAGCGUGGGGAGCAAACAGG
rnacentral:rRNA from 1 species